GUAAUAUGAACUGUAAUUUAAAUAAUAUUCUCAUGUAAUUAAAAAAAAAAGAAUAUGAGCUCAAGUAAUAAUCUCAUAUAAUAUUAAUUAUAAUUCCAGCAAUAAUCUUAUGUAAUUUAAAAAACAAUGGACCCAAAUAGCCACUCUACAAUGGUGCAGGUGUAGUACAUCAUCGUUUCUUGUAUGAGGGGAAAGCACGAAAGCCGCCUAAUCAAAGUACCAAGGGCCCAAUUUUAUUAGUUAGAGCAUAACUAUUUCUAAAGGAAAUUUUAACCACAUUCUAAUGUUGUUCACACAUUUUAUUGGGACAUUUGUCACGUAAUUUUGCACUAAUUUAUUAAAUUAUUUGAAUUAGGGAGGAACAACUUUUGGCCACUGGCAUGGCGCCACUACCCGUCGGCGGAGGUGACCAGUCGACUUUCCCUCACCCCACUGGUGACCUUCCUUUGGCUAGGCAACCACCAUCUCAACCACAUGCACGUUUGAACCAUAAGCCACGUACUCGGUCUAGAUGUAAAAUCCAGCCCUUGGACCCACUGACGGCGGUUGGUGGUGAUUUACCACCACUGACACCUCCUUUUCAUGAAGGCGAUCAUUUCCCUGAUCGGCUGUAAGGUUCAAUUCUC
rnacentral:lncRNA from 1 species